GCCGCCAUGGCGCAGUGGUAACGCGUCGCACUUGUACCACUUGGACAGACCAAAACUGUCCUUCAUGUCGUGAAAAUGCGAAGAUCCCUAGUUCAAUUCUGGGUGGCGGCA
rnacentral:tRNA from 1 species